UUUCUGUAAUACCAAGCUUUAUGUGUUUUCCACAGAGUGUCAGAAAAAUCAUAAGCACAAACUGCAGCUGGUGCUUCUGUGGCCAGUGAGGAUCAGUGGGAGCAAAUGAGGUGCUCCCCACACUGCUUGGCUUUUGGAGGCACUGGCUGUGCCUGUCCUUCUCUGCCCUUUGGGGACAAAACUGGUGUAAUGAUUGCACUCGGAUUCCUUCAGGCUCCAAACCAGACAAGAGAUAGGAACCAGGAAUCCUUUUCAGAGUCGUGUUUUAACAAAGGAUAUUCCUCUUGUUUUUCCAGACACGCAACUUACAAUAUUUGGAGUUGUGGUGCUUACAGAGAUCACAUCGCUGCAGGUUUAGCCAGCUUGGGAUUGUCAUAAUUAGUCUCCCAGGAGAGCAUCAGGGAACUGUGGAGGAAAAGGCCAGACCAGCAGCUGGUGAGAUCACCCAGUGACUUGUGUCCAGCUUUACAGGGACCUCCUGCCUGACCCACGACAUCAUGACCAUGGAUCAGCCACAGGAUUGUGUUCUGCUUCAACAUCCCCCCCCAGAGGGAAAGGAGGAGCCAGGCAAGGUGUAUUAGCAGCCCCAACCCAAGGGCUUUGUGGUGCCUGCAUGACCCUUUGCAUCCCAGAGGAAUAAAAGAUGGGACAGAGCAGUGGGACUGUGGAGG
rnacentral:lncRNA from 1 species